AUUGAACGCUGGCGGCAUGCCUUACACAUGCAAGUCGAACGGCAGCAUAGGAGCUUGCUCCUGAUGGCGAGUGGCGAACGGGUGAGUAAUAUAUCGGAACGUGCCCUAGAGUGGGGGAUAACUAGUCGAAAGACUAGCUAAUACCGCAUACGAUCUACGGAUGAAAGUGGGGGAUCGCAAGACCUCAUGCUCCUGGAGCGGCCGAUAUCUGAUUAGCUAGUUGGUGGGGUAAAAGCCUACCAAGGCAACGAUCAGUAGCUGGUCUGAGAGGACGACCAGCCACACUGGGACAGAGACACGGCCCAGACUCCUACGGGAGGCAGCAGUGGGGAAUUUUGGACAAUGGGGGCAACCCUGAUCCAGCAAUGCCGCGUGAGUGAAGAAGGCCUUCGGGUUGUAAAGCUCUUUUGUCAGGGAAGAAACGGUAGUAGCUAAUAUCUACUACUAAUGACGGUACCUGAAGAAUAAGCACCGGCUAACUACGUGCCAGCAGCCGCGGUAACAC
rnacentral:rRNA from 1 species